rnacentral:rRNA from 1 species
UACGAGGGGGGCAAAUGUUGUUCGGAAUCACUGGGCGUAAAGGGCGCGUAGGCGGCCUGAUAAGUAGGGGGUGAAAUCCUGUGGCUCAACUGCAGGGCUGCCUCCUAGACUGUCGGGCUUGAGCACGGUAGAGGCAGAUGGAAUUCCCGGUGUAGCGGUGGAAUGCGUAGAGAUCCGGAAGAACACCGGUGGCGAAGGCGGCCUGCUGGGCAGUAGCUGACGCUGAGGCGCGACAGCGUGGGGAGCAAACAGG